rnacentral:rRNA from 1 species
GUCGAGGGGUAAAUGGUAGCAAUACUAUGAGACCGGCGGACGGGUGCGUAACGCGUAUGCAACAUACCUUGUGCAGGGGGAUAGCCCGUGGAAACGCGGAUUAAUAUUCCAUAGUCCAGCUAUAUCGCAUGGUAUAGUUGGUAAAGAUUUAUCGGCACAAGUUUGGCAUGCGUCUGAUUAGCUUGUUGGUAGGGUAACGGCCUACCAAGGCUACGGUCAGUAGGGGUUCUGAGAGGAUUAACCCCCACACUGGUACUGAGACACGGACCAGACUCCUAAGGGAGGCAGCAGUGAGGAAUAUUGGUCAAUGGGCGGAAGCCUGAACCAGCCAUCCCGCGUGAAGGAAGACAGCCUUACGGGUUGUAAACUUCUUUUCUGUCAGAAGAAUAAGCUUGUCGAGACGAGUGAUGCCGGUAUGACAGGAAUAAGCAUCGGCUAACUCCGUGCCAGCAGCCGCGGUAAUACGGAGGAUGCAAGCGUUAUCCGGAUUUAUUGGGUUUAAAGGGUGCGCAGGUUGUUUGAUAAGUCAGUGGUGAAAGUCUGUCGCUUAACGGUAGGAUUGCCAUUGAUACUGUUGGACUUGAAUAUGGAUGAGGUAGGCGGAAUGUGUAGUGUAGCGGUGAAAUGCAUAGAUAUUACACAGAACACCGAUUGCGAA